GAGACAUAAUGCUUUACUGAUUGAUUUAACGUAAGUUUCAGAAACCUCAUAUUUUACAUCUAUAAAGGAAUGAUCUGUUGAUUGCAGAAAAAAUCAUCUCCACUGAGAAGUUAGGAACAAACUGUAGCGAAGAAUUAGAAUUAGAUUUCUGAUCCCCUAGCUGAAUUGUUUGAAAUAUGACUGCUUUGGAAAUUGAAGCUAUCCAGUUUGUCAACACACAAGCCAACAAUUGUUUAUCACAGUGGGGCAGCUGAACAUGAGCCAUUCUGGAAAAAACACUAGUUUCACUUUUCAUUCUUACUCACGGUCCAUAAUCGUUCACAUAUCUGAAUGUACUCACUCAGUCUUCAGACUUCACUAUAUCCUUUGGGCUGGGAACAAUCUCAUCAGAGAUGAAAAUGGCAAUUAGCAGAAACUUCACAAAAAUAUGGAAAAAACAUUUUAGUCUUAUAUCGCAGUCGGCAUACUCACUUGUUUUGGUAGUGCUUGAAAAGAUGGUGGAAUCUGACUUUAAAUGCCCAGAAGAGCUGCACUGGAGAUGUUUGUACAUCUCCUUACUUUUCUUUAUCCCAGCAGUGCUGUUUUUUAUAUUAGGCAUAGUUUUGCAGCCAGAGUGUCUACAUCCUUCUGUUAGAAAAAAAGAAUUCUACUACUGUUACAACAAAUGCAAAAGUAACAACAAAUGCAAAAGUGACUCUACAGAUAAGCACAAGUUUAGUAGCUGCUGGCCUGUUUUGUUAAAGGCUUUUUUUCCUGCUGUCUUGUGGAUAGUGAUCCUUCUUCUGGAUGGAAGAUAUAUUAACUGCUUGAGUGAGAACAUCAUAAAGUAUCCGAUAUUCCAGAUCUUGGGACUCGUUAUCAUAUUCGUUGCUGUCUGCAUUGGUUCAAUAUGCAAGUGCUGCUGCAAGAAGGGCUACAAAGAAAAGGUAGCAGCGGAUAAAGCUGAAAUCAAUCAACUAGAGCAAAAAGCUCGUGAGUAUAUGUUAAAACAGAAGGAAGAUGCUAUCCAGCAACGCGUAAAGGAUGAAUAUGGCCCGGAAAUAAUUUUAAUACCUAUUGACAAUAAAAAGUUCUCUGAUAUAAUAAAUGAAGUUUGUAAAAUUUCAGGAGAAGGCAGCUCAGCUGACCAAGGAUAAAUAGGAACUGUCAGCAUUUCACCUCAAGGGACCUCCAGUCAGUCACCUCAAGAGACCUCCAGUCAGUCACCUCAAGAGACCUCCAGUCCUUUACAUCAGGGAACCUCCAAUCUGUCACCUCAAGUGAUAUCAGAAAACACAAGUUGUUCAAGUGUGUGAGUUUUUCUGUGUUUUAAUAUGACACCACAGAAAGUCUGGUAACUGAUUAACAUACCAGUAAUAACACCAAACCAUGACUACACAGCAACUGCAAUCUACUAAAUGCACAAAAACCGAAGUGGAAAAUAAGGAAGGAGAUGCAUCCCCAGCAGUUCUGCUCCUCCAGCCUCCCCCUGCAGUUCUUGGCUUCCUCUUCCAGGCUGGGGGGGGCUGUAGUGGGUUCCCCUCCCCCAUUCCAGGCGGGAGAGGGUGGCUCCAGGGGCUCCCCACCCUCCUCUGCCAGGCUGAUGCUCCAGGGAGGGAAAGGCGGCAGAGCUGUCUUGUCCCGUUGUUCACAAGAGGGGAGAAGGAAAUGGCAGUGGAGCCACCUUGAACUGUUGGGCUCUUUAGUUCCCUCUUCCCCCUUCCCCUCCCAUGAGAAUGGUGUCUGGAUGUCGAGGGGGUGGAGAGGGGAAGAGAGCUCUGAGUGCAAAGUUCCAGAUCCGUAGCAGCACUACACCUCUGCUGGAUGAGAUUUCCUGAGGUUUGUGUAAACAUGUGACACAGGGUUCAAAUAUGUAAGUCUUAUAACUCAGGUGUCUGAGAUAUCAGGUUCCUCAUUGCAUGAGCUUUCCAGUUCUUCACAGCAAGAGAUCUCCAACCCUUCACCUCAAGGGUUUUCCAAUUCUCCACUUCAAGAGGUCUCAAAAGUUUCAUCUCAAGGAACUACAGAUUUCUGAUUUCUAAUAGUCGUGUAAUCUCCAAGGGAAAAGCUACAACACAACCUCAUAACCUGCUUCUCUCAAUUGGAAAACAAAGAGAAAUUAAAAUUAAGGAUGAUUAAAAUUCUGUCCAUAUCUAGUUAAACAAUGGUCAUAGGGUGACCACCCAUCAUUAAAAUAUCUUCCGAUGGCCAAGUAAGUUUUUGAAACGUAGAUAGAAGUUUGAGGUGACCACAGUGAUUUGUGUUCAGGAAGAAAAUCCGAGAGACUGCCAAUAAUCCGCUCAAGACUUCUGCAGCUGUUAAAUAGUUUAAAUACAAGGCUUACCUAGCAAAUGUAGCUCAGUUGUUUUUCACAUGCACUAGAUUUGCUUUAGCAUUUACUUUCAUAUUUUUAUGUGCAAAGCAUUUAAAAAUAAAGGCACUCUGAAACUCAA